GUUGAAGGCUGGCGGCGUGCCUAAUACAUGCAAGUCGAGCGAACCGACGAGAAGCUUGCUUCUCUGAUGUUAGCGGCGGACGGGUGAGUAACACGUGGAUAACCUACCUAUAAGACUGGGAUAACUUCGGGAAACCGGAGCUAAUACCGGAUAAUAUUUUGAACCGCAUGGUUCAAAAGUGAAAGACGGUCUUGCUGUCACUUAUAGAUGGAUCCGCGCUGCAUUAGCUAGUUGGUAAGGUAACGGCUUACCAAGGCAACGAUGCAUAGCCGACCUGAGAGGGUGAUCGGCCACACUGGAACUGAGACACGGUCCAGACUCCUACGGGAGGCAGCAGUAGGGAAUCUUCCGCAAUGGGCGAAAGCCUGACGGAGCAACGCCGCGUGAGUGAUGAAGGUCUUCGGAUCGUAAAACUCUGUUAUUAGGGAAGAACAUAUGUGUAAGUAACUGUGCACAUCUUGACGGUACCUAAUCAGAAAGCCACGGCUAACUACGUGCCAGCAGCCGCGGUAAUACGUAGGUGGCAAGCGUUAUCCGGAAUUAUUGGGCGUAAAGCGCGCGUAGGCGGUUUUUUAAGUCUGAUGUGAAAGCCCACGGCUCAACCGUGGAGGGUCAUUGGAAACUGGAAAACUUGAGUGCAGAAGAGGAAAGUGGAAUUCCAUGUGUAGCGGUGAAAUGCGCAGAGAUAUGGAGGAACACCAGUGGCGAAGGCGACUUUCUGGUCUGUAACUGACGCUGAUGUGCGAAAGCGUGGGGAUCAAACAGGAUUAGAUACCCUGGUAGUCCACGCCGUAAACGAUGAGUGCUAAGUGUUAGGGGGUUUCCGCCCCUUAGUGCUGCAGCUAACGCAUUAAGCACUCCGCCUGGGGAGUACGACCGCAAGGUUGAAACUCAAAGGAAUUGACGGGGACCCGCACAAGCGGUGGAGCAUGUGGUUUAAUUCGAAGCAACGCGAAGAACCUUACCAAAUCUUGACAUCCUUUGACAACUCUAGAGAUAGAGCUUUCCCCUUCGGGGGACAAAGUGACAGGUGGUGCAUGGUUGUCGUCAGCUCGUGUCGUGAGAUGUUGGGUUAAGUCCCGCAACGAGCGCAACCCUUAAGCUUAGUUGCCAUCAUUAAGUUGGGCACUCUAAGUUGACUGCCGGUGACAAACCGGAGGAAGGUGGGGAUGACGUCAAAUCAUCAUGCCCCUUAUGAUUUGGGCUACACACGUGCUACAAUGGACAAUACAAAGGGCAGCGAAACCGUGAGGUCAAGCAAAUCCCAUAAAGUUGUUCUCAGUUCGGAUUGUAGUCUGCAACUCGACUACAUGAAGCUGGAAUCGCUAGUAAUCGUAGAUCAGCAUGCUACGGUGAAUACGUUCCCGGGUCU
rnacentral:rRNA from 1 species